rnacentral:rRNA from 1 species
GACGAACGCUGGCGGCGUGCUUAACACAUGCAAGUCGAACGAGAAAGCACCUUCGGGUGCGAGUAAAGUGGCGAACGGGUGAGUAACACGUGGGCAACCUGCCCCGGAGAGCGGGACAACUCGGGGAAACUCGAGCUAAUACCGCAUGAUCCGCCCCGACUCAGGUCGGGUCGGCAAAUGGUAGCUUCGGCCUCCGCUCUGGGAUGGGCCCGCGCCGCAUUAGCUAGUUGGUGAGGUAACGGCUUACCAAGGCGACGAUGCGUAGCUGGUCUGAGAGGACGAUCAGCCACACUGGAACUGAGACACGGUCCAGACUCCUACGGGAGGCAGCAGUAGGGAAUCUUGGGCAAUGGGCGAAAGCCUGACCCAGCGAUGCCGCGUGUGUGAAGAAGGCCUUCGGGUUGUAAAGCACUUUCAGCAGCGAAGAAAUGUCGGGGGCUAAUAUCCCUCUGGCUUUGACGUUAACUGCAGAAGAAGUACCGGCUAACUCCGUG